rnacentral:rRNA from 1 species
UACGGGGGGGGCAAGCGUUGUUCGGAAUUACUGGGCGUAAAGGGCUCGUAGGCGGCCAACUAAGUCAGACGUGAAAUCCCUCAGCUUAACUGGGGAACUGCGUCCGAUACUGGAUGGCUCGAGUUUGGGAGAGGGAUGCGGAAUUCCAGGUGUAGCGGUGAAAUGCGUAGAUAUCUGGAGGAACACCGGUGGCGAAGGCGGCAUCCUGGACCAACACUGACACUGAGGAGCGAAAGCCAGGGGAGCAAACGGG